UACGUAGGGUGCUAGCGUUAUCCGGAAUCACUGGGCGUAAAGCGUGCGUAGGCGGCUUGUUAAGUGAGAUGUGAAACCGUGUGGCUCAACCAUAUCGUUGCAUUUCAUACUGGCAGGCUAGAGGACGGCAGAGGCAAGUGGAAUUGGUAGUGUAGCAGUGAAAUGCGUAGAUAUUACCAGGAACACCAAUGGCGAAGGCAGCUUGCUGGGCCGACCCUGACGCUGAGGUACGAAAGCUAGGGGAGCAAACGGG
rnacentral:rRNA from 1 species